AACGUGAGCAACCUGCCUUUCAGAGGGGGAGUAACAGUUGGAAACGACUGCUAAUACCGCAUAACGCUGCGAUGGGGCAUCCCGAUGCAGCCAAAGGAGCAAUCCGCUGGAAGAUGGGCUCGCGGCCGAUUAGCUAGUUGGUGGGGCAACGGCCCACCAAGGCGACGAUCGGUAGCCGGACUGAGAGGUUGAUCGGCCACAUUGGGACUGAGACACGGCCCAGACUCCCUACGGGAGGCAGCAG
rnacentral:rRNA from 1 species